UCAGGGGGUUGUUUGUCCAGGUGUGUUUAGGAUGGAACCUGUACCUGUCUACCGUCCUCAUGCUGGUGGUCACUGCCCUCUACACUAUAGCAGGUGGUCUGGCUGCUGUCAUCUAUACAGACACUCUGCAGACCUUCGUCAUGAUUAUAGGAGCAAUCAUCCUCACCAUCACAGCGUUCAACAAGAUUGGAGGCUACAGUAACUUGGAGAGAGUUUACCAGGCAGCCAUCCCUUCUAAGGUGAGUCAAC